rnacentral:rRNA from 1 species
ACUCAAAUGAAUUGACGGGAAUCCACACAAGCGGUGGAGCAUGUGGUUUAAUGCGAUGCAACGCGCAAAACCUUACCAGCUCUUGCAUAUUAGAUGAAUUGAUUUUAAUUAAUUUAUUCAAAAAAAAUCUAUUACAGGUGUUGCAUGGCUGUCGUCAGCUCGUGUCGUGAGAUGUAGGGUUAGGUCCUAUAACGAGCGCAACCCUUAUGUUUACUUGCCAACGGAAUCCUAAAAUAGCAAUAUUUUUUAAAAAUCCGGGAACUUUAAACAGACUGCCUGUGAUAAACAGGAGGAAGGUGAGGAUGACGUCAAGCCCUCAUGACCCUUAUGAGCUGGGCUACACACGUGCUACAAUGGUAAUUACAAUGGGAAGCAAUAUUGUAAAAUGGAGCAAAUCCUUAAAAAUUAUCUCAGUUCAGAUUGUUCUCUGCAACUCGAGAACAUGAAGUUGGAAUCGCUAGUAAUCGUGGAUCAGCACGCCACGGUGAAUAUGUUCUUGGGUUUUGUACACACCGCCCGU